CAGUCGCCACGGGAAUACGGAGGGGGCUAGCGUUGUUCGGAAUUACUGGGCGUAAAGCGUACGUAGGCGGCUUUGUAAGUUAGAGGUGAAAGCCUGGAGCUCAACUCCAGAAUUGCCUUUAAGACUGCAUCGCUUGAACGUCGGAGAGGUGAGUGGAAUUCCGAGUGUAGAGGUGAAAUUCGUAGAUAUUCGGAAGAACACCAGUGGCGAAGGCGGCUCACUGGACGACUGUUGACGCUGAGGUACGAAAGCGUGGGGAGCAAACAGGAUUAGAUACCCCCGUAGUCCCUGUCUCUUAUAC
rnacentral:rRNA from 1 species